GAGUUUGAUUCCUGGUCUCAGGGAUGAACGCUAGUUCCCGGGCUUAACCCCCUCCAAUUUGGGGGGAAACGUUAUGAAAAGCUUGGUUUUUUUAGGGUGUCGCCCGGGGAAUGGGUGAGUAAGGGGUUUCCCACCCUGCCCUUGAUUAAGGAUUAGCCCCACGAAAGGAUGGAUUAUUCCCUUUAUGUUCUCCUUGGCAGCCAUCUAUUUAGGAGUAAAGAUUUAUCGCUGAGGGAUGGGGAUGCGUCUGAUUAGCUUGGUGGGCGGGUAACGGCCCCACCAAGGCAACGAUCAGUAGGGGUUCUGGGAGGAAGGUCCCCCACCAUUGGUACUGAGACACGACCCAAACUCNUACGNGAGGCAGCAGUGAGGAAUAUUGGUCAAUGGGCGGAAGCCUGAACCAGCCAAGUAGCGUGCAGGAUGACUGCCCUAUGGGUUGUAAACUGCUUUUAUACGGGGAUAAAGUCAGAGUCGUGACUCUGUUUGCAGGUACCGUAUGAAUAAGGACCGGCUAAUUCCGUGCCAGCAGCCGCGGUAAUACGGAAGGUCCAGGCGUUAUCCGGAUUUAUUGGGUUUAAAGGGAGCGUAGGCCGGAGAUUAAGUGUGUUGUGAAAUUUAGGCGCUCAACGUCUGCACUGCAGCGCAUACUGGUUUCCUUGAGUACACGCAACGUUGGCGGAAUUCGUCGUGUAGCGGUGAAAUGCUUAGAUAUGACGAAGAACUCCAAUUGCGAAGGCAGCUGACGGGAGUGCAACUGACGCUGAAACUCGAAAGUGCGGGUAUCGAACAGGAUUAGAUACCCUGGUAGUCCGCACGGUAAACGAUGGAUGCCCGCUAUUCGCUCGAAUGAGUGAGUGGCCAAGCGAAAGCAUUAAGCAUCCCACC
rnacentral:rRNA from 1 species